rnacentral:piRNA from 1 species
UGCUGCCGGACGACUCAUGGUCA